rnacentral:rRNA from 1 species
CCUACGGGAGGCAGCAGUAGGGAAUCUUCCACAAUGGGCGAAAGCCUGAUGGAGCAACGCCGCGUGGGUGAAGAAGGUCUUCGGAUCGUAAAACCCUGUUGUUAGAGAAGAAAGUGCGUGAGAGUAACUGUUCACGUUUCGACGGUAUCUAACCAGAAAGCCACGGCUAACUACGUGCCAGCAGCCGCGGUAAUACGUAGGUGGCAAGCGUUAUCCGGAUUUAUUGGGCGUAAAGGGAACGCAGGCGGUCUUUUAAGUCUGAUGUGAAAGCCUUCGGCUUAACCGGGGUAGUGCAUUGGAAACUGGGAGACGUGAGUGCCGAAGAGGAGAGUGGAACUCCAUGUGUAGCGGUGAAAUGCGUAGAUAUAUGGAAGAACACCAGUGGCGAAAGCGGCUCUCUGGUCUGUAACUGACGCUGAGGUUCGAAAGCGUGGGUAGCAAACAGGAUUAGAUACCCUUGUAGUC